rnacentral:tRNA from 1 species
AUUUCCUUGGUGGAAUGGUAGACACGUCGGGUUUAAGCCUCGAUCUUUCUAGGUAUCGGUUCAAGUCCGAUAGGAAAUA